UCCAGCUCUGUACCUGGGUGCAGGGGUAGGAUCUGGGCUCCUUGUGCUGCUGUUACUGCUGACAGGAGGAGUGCUGAAGUGUCUGCAAUCCAGACGAGACCCUGCUGUCCAGAUUGAACCUGUGUACGCCAAUGUGAAUAAGCUGGAUCGGUCUCCACGGCAACAGGAUGAUACAAUCCCUGAUCCAGAAACGCUCCCCCUGUCCCCAAGAAAACAUGUCUGGCAGAUCUGAUGUAGAAUACGCAACAGUUGAAAUUUCCAAAUGCUGUCUGUUGAUGAGAAAUCCACCUGGGGGAGAAAAGACUUUUGUGGUUGAUAGUAAACCACCUCAUAUUCACUGCAAAGAAAAAAUGAUCUUUCCAUUUAAUAAAAGCACUUUUUGCAACAAACAAUAAAUUAUUUCUCCCUCAUGCAAACAAGGGGUAAAUAACACAGUUAAUUCAAUCAAAAGUGUGCUGCAGGGCAAUCAUCACAAAAUACAGUGCAUAACAAGAAAUUGUGUUACAAAAAAACUUUUCUUUUUCAUCCAAGCUAAACCUGGUCACUUGAGACAUACAAUCCAAAUUAUAAUGUCAUUUUCCAGCAGAUCUGGAGGAAAAGCUGUAAAAACUACAGCUAUAGUACUCAGCAGUGAGAUAGCAGUCUCUGCUUCCAUCCCUAUAGUGUUUUUUUCUGUUUUGCGUUACUG